rnacentral:rRNA from 1 species
GUAGGUGGCAAGCGUUGUCCGGAAUUAUUGGGCGUAAAGCGCGCGCAGGCGGUCCUUUAAGUCUGAUGUGAAAGCCCACGGCUCAACCGUGGAGGGCCAUUGGAAACUGGGGGACUUGAGUACAGAAGAGGAAAGCGGAAUUCCAAGUGUAGCGGUGAAAUGCGUAGAGAUUUGGAGGAACACCAGUGGCGAAGGCGGCUUUCUGGUCUGUAACUGACGCUGAGGCGCGGAAGCGUGGGGAGCAAACAGGAUUAGAUACCCUGGUAGUCCACGCCGUAAACGAUGAGUGCUAGGUGUUAGGGGGUUUCCCGCCCCCUUAGUGCUGCAGCUAACGCAUUAAGCACUCCGCCUGGGGAGUACGGCCGCAAGGCUG